UACUGAGGUGCUGACCUGUUGCACCCUCGACAACCACUGUGAUUAUUAUUAUUUGACCCUGCUGGUCAUCUAUGAACAUUUGAACAUCUUGGCCAUGUCCUAAUAUAAUCUCCACCCGGCACAGCCAGAAGAGGACUGGCCACCGCUCAUAGCCUGGUUCCUCUCUAGGUUUCUUCCAAGGUUCUGGACUUUCUAGGGAGUUUUUCCUAGCCACCGUGCUUCUACACCUGAAUUGCUUGCUGUCAGGAGGAAUGGGCCAAAAUUCACCCAACUUAUUGUGAGAAGUUUGUGGAAUGCUACCCGAAACGUUUGACCCAAGUUAAACUAUUUAAAGGCAAUGCUACCAAAUACUAAUUGAGUGUAUGUAAAUUUCUGACCCACUGGGAAUGUGAUGAAAGAAAUACAAGCUGAAACAAAUCAUUCUCUCUACUAUUAUUCUGACAUUUCACAUUCUUAAAAUAAAGUGGUGAUCCUAACUGACCUAAGAGAGGGGAUUCUUACUAGGAUUAAAUUUCAGGAAUUGUGAAAAGGAAUUGUAAGUUUAAAUGUAUUUGGCUAAGGUGUAUGUAAACUUCUGACUUCAACUGUAUAUUUCCCCUAUAGGAAACAAUGGGAUGACCUCAGAGUUCCAUGAAUUUUUUGUUUGUUGUUGUUACAACGUGGGCAGGUCUCAUUGCCAACAAUAGUGAAGCAGGCAUUGUGACGUAGAACAAUGGGCUGGGCAUAGAACUGGAGCUGGCCGGGUGAAAAAUGCCCUAAAAUAAGGCCUGUUUUUUUUUAUUAUUAAAAAACUACGGCAAGAAGCUGGGAUAUGGUAAUAUUAUGAAACUGGGCUCCACGGCGGAUGCAAUGAACUUGUUUUUUUUAUCAGAAAAAAGCAUUGUUAAAAAUUUAAUGAGUCCAGCCUAACUGGAGCAUCUAGGCUAGUCACUUCUCAGGGAAAGGAUGCUCUUCAGUCGGCCUCUUGUCCACCAAGUGAUAGGAACACACAUAGGGUCGGUUUGGUGGUUUCUUCAAGUUCAAUGCUUUGAGCCAAAGCCGAAGAGACUCCUCAUCCAUAGGAGGUGGGUGCAAAUCAAAAGGUGCACAGCUGCACAACUGCACUCCAAUCUCAAAAUAGUUUGGUGGACAAAACCGUCCUGCUCCAUGAACAGCUUCCGUUUCUGCCAGUAAUUGUGGCAUCCCCUUACCAAACAUUAAAUGCCCAU
ensembl:lncRNA